UACGAGGGGGGCAAGCGUUGUUCGGAAUUAUUGGGCGUAAAGGGCGCGUAGGCGGUGCGGUAAGUCUGAUGUGAAAUCUCCGGGCUCAACUCGGAGUCUGCAUCAGAAACUGCCGUGCUCGAGUGUGGGAGAGGUGAGUGGAAUUCCCGGUGUAGCGGUGAAAUGCGCAGAUAUCAGGAGGAACACCAAUGGCGAAGGCAGCUCGCUGGGACGGUACUGACGCUGAGACGCGAAAGCGUGGGGAGCAAACAGG
rnacentral:rRNA from 1 species